GCAUGGCUUUUGCUGAACGCGACGUGUUGUCUUCCAAGACAAGGUCCUCGGAGUGGACGAGGUUCACCUCAUAUAAUGGUAAGUGGCAUGCUCUUAACAACGUCAGGGUGUGUGUAAAGUAUAUUCCUAAAAGAUGACGGUAAUGAUUUGGUAAACGCUUCACCCUGUUGCCAUUGUAACAGAUGGACUGUCGCCCCGGACGUCUCCCUUUUUAAUCUCAGUUUACAGUCUUUAAUGUUGACUAUCUAAACAAAGUCUGUGGUCGUAAGAUUGAAGUUUACAUGGACGUUGUGCGAGAUGAGCGUGGGGCUGAUUGACUGGGGAAACGGCUGUGUACGGCGGCUAGAGGAGACACUGCGUCUUAAGUUAAAUUUAUUACACUUUGGAAAUUAGUACACUGCACUUCGACGAGACCAGCAUGGCGUCGCACUAAAAUAACAUCGAUGUUAUGGAGCUAAUAGUGCCAUACCGGUGGAGUGAUCUACACUAGAAUCACACUGAUACCGUGUAUUCAGACAGUUAAUACACCGAGUAAACCAACGAAAACACUUCUGAGACUCAUUCUUGUGCGUGAUUGUAUUCUCAAACACUUCAGUGCGGUGAGCAUUCCGAGAAACCAUCCCCAGUCAAUCGAGCCCCUCGAUGAUCUCUCACAACGCACUUGCUCAAUUAUGUUGAAUUAAUUGUUCCGGUGAUGUGGAAAUAACACUAAGAAGCUAGUUUAUAUGGACUUAAUUGCUUUGUGAUUGAAGAAUAACGUACUGAUUUUCCACAGGGGGAAACGUGACAAAGGGAAGGCCUUCAGGUAUUGUUUUGGCAAGCUAGGAGAACACAUCUGACAGACAAAAAGGUUUCAUCAAAGACACACAGACAGCUCCUGAAGUAAAGGACCUACACAGGACCUUCAUAUCAAGGACAUUGACUGUGUGGAUCUCGAGGUGCAGUUACCCAAAAGUUGCUACCCACGGAAUACCAGGUUUUGAGGGAUCCUGCCAGAGCAGAGAAUCAACAGAUACAUUGAAGAGGAGACUCCGACAUGACCGCCGGCAUCUUGUGUUAUUCACCCCCACCACUUGUAAUACUGAAUGCCUGAAUUGUUGU